UGGGGAAUCUUGCACAAUGGGGGCAACCCUGAUGCAGCGACGCCGCGUGAGCGAUGAAGGUUUUCGAAUCGUAAAGCUCUGUCCUAUGGGAAGAUAAUGACGGUACCAUAGGAGGAAGCCCCGGCUAACUACGUGCCAGCAGCCGCGGUAAUACGUAGGGGGCGAGCGUUGUCCGGAAUUACUGGGCGUAAAGGGUUCGCAGGCGGCAUGGCAAGUCCGAUGUAAAAGGCGAAGGCUCAACCUUCGUAAGCAUCGGAAACUGUCAAGCUUGAGUGAAGGAGAGGCAAGUGGAAUUCCUAGGGUAGCGGUGGAAUGCGUAGAUAUUAGGAGGAAUACCGGUGGCGAAGGCGACUUGCUGGACUUCAACUGACGCUGAGGAACGAAAGCGUGGGUAGCAAACAGG
rnacentral:rRNA from 1 species